GGGUUUAUUAGAAAAGGUCAGGGU
rnacentral:siRNA from 1 species